rnacentral:rRNA from 1 species
UGGGGAAUAUUGCACAAUGGGCGCAAGCCUGAUGCAGCCAUGCCGCGUGUGUGAAGAAGGCCUUCGGGUUGUAAAGCACUUUCAGCGGGGAGGAAGGCGAUAAGGUUAAUAACCUCAUCGAUUGACGUUACCCGCAGUAGAAGCACCGGCUAACUCCGUUCCAGCAGCCGCGGUAAUACGGAGGGUGCCAGCGUUAAUCGGAAUUACUGGGCGUAAAGCGCACGCAGGCGGUCUGUCAAGUAGGAUGUGAAAUCCCCGGGCUCAACCUGGGAACUGAAUCUGAUACUGGCAAGCUUGAGUCUCGUAGAGGGGGGUAGAAUUCCAGGUGUAGCGGUGAAAUGCGUAGAGAUCGGGAGGAAUACCGGUGGCGAAGGCGGCCCCCUGGACGAAGACUGACGCUCAGGUGCGAAAGCGUGGGGAGCAAACAGG